rnacentral:rRNA from 1 species
CCUACGGGGGGCAGCUGUGGGGAAUAUUGGGCAAUGGGCGCAAGCCUGACCCAGCAACGCCGCGUGAAGGAAGAAGGCUUUCGGGUUGUAAACUUCUUUUCUCAGGGACGAAGAAAGUGACGGUACCUGAGGAAUAAGCCACGGCUAACUACGUGCCAGCAGCCGCGGCAAUACGGAGGCGGCAAGCGUUAUCCGGAUUUACUGGGUGUAAAGGGCGGGUAGGCGGGACUGCAAGUCAGAUGUGAAAACCACGGGCUCAACCUGUGGCCUGCAUGUGAAACUGUAGUUCUUGAGUACUGGGGAGGCAGACGGAAUUCCUGGUGUAGCGGUGAAAUGCGUAGAUAUUAGGAGGAACACCAGUGGCGAAGGCGGUCUGCUGGACAGCAACUGACGCUGAGGCGCGAAAGCGUGGGGAGCAAACAGGAUUAGAUACCCCAGUAGUC